rfam:Aedes albopictus isolate Foshan contig67677, whole genome shotgun sequence.
UGCCCAGCAACUCCUAUCCUUAUCUCCUCGUGAUACGGGCCGGAAACUAUGAGCGACCUUAGGGAAGAUCGGGUAACCAACCCCGGUGGGAACUUUGGUCAUAGGCUGACAGGGAAGG